AGUGAACGCUGGCGGUAGGCCUAACACAUGCAAGUCGAACGGCAGCACAGGAGAGCUUGCUCUCUGGGUGGCGAGUGGCGGACGGGUGAGGAAUACAUCGGAAUCUGCCCAGUCGUGGGGGAUAACGUAGGGAAACUUACGCUAAUACCGCAUACGACCUUCGGGUGAAAGAGGGGGAUCGCAAGACCUCUCGCGAUUGGAUGAGCCGAUGUCGGAUUAGCUAGUUGGCGGGGUAAUGGCCCACCAAGGCGACGAUCCGUAGCUGGUCUGAGAGGAUGAUCAGCCGCACUGGAACUGAGACACGGUCCAGACUCCUACGGGAGGCAGCAGUGGGGAAUAUUGGACAAUGGGCGCAAGCCUGAUCCAGCCAUACCGCGUGGGUGAAGAAGGCCUUCGGGUUGUAAAGCCCUUUUGUUGGGAAAGAAAUCUUUCAGGCUAAUACCCUGGGAGGAUGACGGUACCCAAAGAAUAAGCACCGGCUAACUUCGUG
rnacentral:rRNA from 1 species